rnacentral:tRNA from 1 species
GGAGGUGUGAUGAAAUUGGUAAACAUGCUGGAUUCAAAAUCCAGUGAACUUCGGUUCUUGUGGGUUCAAGUCCCACCACCUCUACCA